ensembl:lncRNA
AAAGAUUAUAAAUAGACUUUGCUACAGCAGCGCCUGGACUGUCGGGAAGCGGGAGAACACUUCAGUCUUCACAGAGUCCCAACGUGUCCGUCUGCACCAGGCUGUGGUUCCCUGGCUCAGGAUUACCCCCCAGCACCACCACUUCUAUAACCACCAUCACCCCCACCACCACCACCACCUCCACCUCCUUCACCUCCACCUCCAGGUUACGCAAAGUAAAGCAACUCUCCCCAGACAAGCAGACGUGGAGGACAUCAGGCUUGGAAGGAGUUCUGGAAAGGCAUGAAAUGUCAGAAGCCAUCUUCUGAACUGACUCCCUCGUGUGAUCCUUGCAGGCAUCUCCACGCAACACGCCGGCCUCUCGUCAUACACAGUCCCACACACUGAUGAAGGCGCCGGGUCUGAGACGGACGGAGACUCGCGGCGUUCGGGACGACUUGGCGAAGACUCCGGUGGACCUCAACCAAGGCUGCAGAGGCGCUGUGGUACUCGGAGGAGGGGGAAAUGGCCGCCGGUCGGGCGACG